CUGCAUCGUGGGAGAUCCAGGUGGUUUUAACUUGGCGUUCCUGCUCCCCUGCCUCUCCUCCGAGCCACAUUAUACAAGAGUGACCUUUUAAAUCUACGCCCACUCUUUACCAGCUAAAGGACUGCAGCAGGCGAGUUCCGGAAGGCUGAUUCCCCAGAUCCCGGGCCCGGACAGCCGCCGUUCGCCCCUUGCGGCACGCCCGGCCAGGCUGCGCCUGGACUCAGCUGUUUAGGUGAAGGCGGCGGCCGCGCGCCCUGCCCUGACAGCCGCCGCCAAGCCCCUGCUGCCCUCCUCGUUCCUUACCCUCUUCUUCCCCCUCCUUGCCCCCCUCCGUUUCCUGGGCUGAGCUGGGGGCGAAAUGGACACAGGAACAACUCCUUCUCUUCCUUCGGAUUCCAAAUUGGAAGCCAGGGCUGUCAUUUGCUCCGUGCACGGCCUGCAAGAUGAGUCCUGGCUCAGCAUCUCCAAGGCCUCCUCCAGGGCUUGGAAGACUUCUUGGAAACACUAUUUACUUUGCUGGAAUCAUGGGAAACAUGUUCAGUUUGCUCUCUGAGAUGACUGUGCUUUGCCUUUGAUGGGAUCUCUGGAAGGAGGUACAUGGAAUGCCUUGAAACCAAAGCACUGUCCCCAAGAGUGAAACCUGUGAGCCUCCACCUUCCACAGCUUCACCUACCUGUGAACUCUGACAUCACUUUUGCAGAUUCUGAUGCAAUCUUGACAUAUGGAGGGGCACCAGGAGGCCCUUACCCACCAGUGGAUGAAGACAUGCUAUCCUAAAUUUAUAUCAGGUUGUGCCCUGGUCACCUGCAUGUACACUGAUUAUCAUGUAUAUCCCUAUUACCUGGUUGUAUUUGCUCAUACCUUCAAACUCUUCUUCUUUGUUUGGGUCUCUGAAAUUUUCCUCCAUCUUGCAUGCCUCCAGCUCCUGGGAACUAGGAUUAACCUCCAGAAGACUCCUAUUCCAAAUCUGAUGAACCGCUUGAAAUAACAGUACUUUCACAUACCUGAUUCUAAGUUCUAACAUAUUAUUCAGAACUCUUGUGAUUGCAAAUGACAGAAACCUUAUCUGAACCAGCUUAAAUGCUAAGAGGAAUGUGUUGUCUCAUGCAACUCUGUAUUAGAAUCUAGCUAUGCAUCAGAGACUCAGACAUCUUUGUUUGAUUCUCUUGUCUCUGCUCCCCUCUGCACACAUUUAAUUUUUCUCUCUUUCUGCAAACUGGCUUCUGCUUCUUAUGUCCAACAGCAAGAAACAUAGCCGUUGAUAUUUCCCAGGAUUUAUAUUUUAUAGCCCAGCUUAGGUCAGAUGCUCAACCCUGGGAAAAUCACUUUGAUCAAAGGAAUGAAUACCCCAAAUGAUCAAGUUUGAGUUUGAUGUUGUGAUGGUUAAGUUCAUGUGUCAACAUGGCCAUGUUAUGGUGUCCAAUUGUUUGAUCAAGCAAACACUGGCCUGUUUGUUACUGUGAGGCUAUUUCAUAGA